rnacentral:lncRNA from 1 species
CCAUUCAAUGCCUAUUUAUUAAAGCUUCUCCCUCCCAUUUGUCCCUCCAAAUUAUAAACACCUGAUUGCUGAAUGAUAUUGCUCUAUUCCCAUAGUAGGGUAUCAGAGGGUCUUUCGGCGAUGUCAUCCUUCUUUUUUCUACUUGCAAUGGUUAGAUUAUAUGAAUCAAGUAUGAUCGGUUUUAGGCCAAAGUUUCCCAAACUCCUUUGUUGUGUUAUCCCAUCCCUCGUGAUCGUGUUUUCCCCUUUUGGGCUCAGUCGUGGGUCUUCC